UACGAACCGUCCGAACGUUACUCGGAAUCACUGGGCUUAAAGGGUGCGUAGGCCGCGCGGAGGGUGGGAUGUGAAAUCCCCCGGCUCAACCGGGGAAUAGCGUCCCAAACCGCCGUGCUCGAGGGAGACAGAGGUGAGCGGAACUGAUGGUGGAGCGGUGAAAUGCGUUGAUAGUCAUCAGGAACACCAGUGGCGAAAGCGGCUCACUGGGUCUUUCCUAACGCUGAGGCACGAAAGCUAGGGGAGCGAACGGG
rnacentral:rRNA from 1 species